rnacentral:sRNA from 1 species
UGUGGCCGGGGCUUGGGUGUAGUAUUGCUGGCACCUGGACAUGGUCCAGGCGCGUUCAGCCCGACCCCCCGGGGCUGAACCCGACGGCCCCAGCCUCCUCCCC